UGCGUAGGUGGUUAUUUAAGUCCGUUGUGAAAGCCCUGGGCUCAACCUGGGAACUGCAGUGGAUACUGGAUGACUAGAAUGUGGUAGAGGGUAGCGGAAUUCCUGGUGUAGCAGUGAAAUGCGUAGAGAUCAGGAGGAACAUCCAUGGCGAAGGCAGCUACCUGGACCAACAUUGACACUGAGGCACGAAAGCGUGGGAGCAAACA
rnacentral:rRNA from 1 species